rnacentral:rRNA from 1 species
CCUGAGUACGACGGAGCACGUGAAAUUCCGUCGGAAUCUGGGAGGACCAUCUCCUAAGGCUAAAUACUCUCUAGUGACCGAUAGUGAACCAGUACCGUGAGGGAAAGGUGAAAAGUACCCCGGAAGGGGAGUGAAAGAGAACUUGAAACCGUGUGCUUACAAGUAGUCAGAGCCCGUUAAUGGGUGAUGGCGUGCCUUUUGUAGAAUGAACCGGCGAGUUACGAUCUGAUGCAAGGUUAAGCAGAAAAUGUGGAGCCGUAGCGAAAGCGAGUCUGAAUAGGGCGAAUGAGUAUUUGGUCGUAGACCCGAAACCAGGUGAUCUACCCUUGGUCAGGUUGAAGUUCAGGUAACACUGAAUGGAGGACCGAACCGACUUACGUUGAAAAGUGAGCGGAUGAACUGAGGGUAGCGGAGAAAUUCCAAUCGAACUUGGAGAUAGCUGGUUCUCUCCGAAAUAGCUUUAGGGCUAGCCUCAAGUGAUGAUUAUUGGAGGUAGAGCACUGUUUGGACGAGGGGCCCCUCUCGGGUUACCGAAUUCAGACAAACUCCGAAUGCCAAAUAAUUUAACUUGGGAGUCAGAAUGUGGGUGAUAAGGUCCAUAUUCGAAAGGGAAACAGCCCAGACCACCAGCUAAGGUCCCAAAAUAUAU